GUAUUUGGGGAGUGAAAACAAAGAUGAGGUGCAGAAUAGUCUCAGAUUUCUCAAUGGGUGGCUGUGCCUUUAUCAGCUAUAUGGAGUUUGGGGUACAUUUGAAAUAUACACAAGAAAAAGCCAACUAGGAAAUUGAAUAUAUAGACCUAUAUAUUCAGGGGAGAAGACCGAAUUAAAGAUAAAGAAGUGAAUGUCAUUAGCAAACAGGUGAAAGAUGAAACCCAGGAGCGAAUGUCAUUAGCCAGAGAGAAUCUGUCAAGUAAGAAGUGAAGAAGGCCAAAGAAAAGAUAUGGGAAAACUUAAAAUUAAAGCAUGGGGAAACGAGAAGACUCCCAAGGAGUCAGAAGAAAUAGCCCAGAAAUCUCUGAGAUCCAACUUCACAUACUCAACUUGUUAGCAAUUUCUCCUCACUCUGGUGGGACUCAGACCCGCAUUCAGAAGAGCUCCAAGGAGGGGCCCAUGGGUGGGCCUCAUAUCCACAAUCCAUCCCUUCCUCAGAGGGUUCUUUUCUGUUCGGUGUCAUGGAUUUGAAAUGAAACUGAAGCUGAGCAUUCACCGGCACAAGCUUUUACUCAAUGGCCAAAGAAUGAAGUGGGAACUGUGUUCAUGAAUCAACUUCUAUGCUCUUGGGAAUCCAGAAAGAAUAAUCUAUUAGGUACUAUCGCAAUUAAUGAAUGGUAAAUGGACAUAAAGUUGCUAAGUAAACAGUUCUCCACUGAGACUGAUGUAAUGUCCUGGGAGAUUCGUGAGAGCUGUCCCACUUCUGCUCAAGGACAAUCUGGAAAUUCUGGACCUACAGAUGCUUUGACCAAAGGCAGCAGAAAAAAAAAACUAUUUUUUCAAAGCUUCAACUAUUUAUCUAUAUAACCAGAGGAUACCCAGCCAAAGACAGAAAAUGCUAUUGUUUAGAAUAGUCUUAUUAAAGGCCCCCACUUUAUAAGCACCCAUAGAUCUCUGGACAUAAUGAAAAGGCAGAGGAUGACAAAGAAGCACAAUGACAUGAAACCCUACCACAUUUGUGACUAGGAGUUUAAAU
rnacentral:lncRNA from 1 species